CUUCGUCAGCACUCCUAGAGGGACUUGUUGUGCGGGCGGAGAUUAGUAUACAAGUCAGUCGUUGAUUCGUUGACCGGAGGAACAGCCCACUUGUGCACAUGAGCCAGAUCGAGGUGUACGGCGCGAGAAACCAGGCACCAAACCACAUGGAUCUCUUGGAUCCAUAUAACAGCUUGUGUUUUAGUCAGAUGCAUAUAUUCCUUCAUUUGAUAAUCAAAACGUUAUCUUUCGUAUACAUAUAAUUUAUUGAUCUCUUGGAUCCAAUUUUGUAUGCUCAAACUACUAUAUCUUUUGGAUCCAAUCAUGUUUGUUACCUAUUGUGAUUUGAGAGGUAUAUAUAAGGGAAGGAUGUGUGAACUCAACUUUUUGAUCCUUCAAUGCAUUAGAAGGAUGUCUGCACUCAACUUUUUGAUCCUUCAAUGCAUUGGAAGGAUGUGUGCACUCAACUUUUUGAUCCUUCAAUGCAUUGCAGUAUUUGCAUGACAGCUAAUAGAGCAAACAAUGUAAGUUAGUGUUGACAAAUGAAUCAAAGAGAGCUUACACGACAAGCACUCACCUUUAGGGAAAACGACAGGUGUUAGCAGCGGUGGACAUGUGUUAGAUUAUCAUGGAACAUUUGGCGGACAUGGUGCUUGCAUGGUUGUAGUUGGAUGACAAACGUAGCCAAUAUGACAGCUGUAUGCUUUGAUUGUGACAUGAAUGACAUUUGUUGUCGGAGGUAGCACUAAGGCGGGGAUGGUCUGCGGCAAAGAUAAGUGCAAAUAUUGUUCGGUGAUAGCUGCCAGUCCAUGACAAUAGUCGAGCCCUAUAAGAGUAGCCAACUCGAGGUGGAAAUGAGAACAGGAAUCGCUAAGCGACCAACAAUCCGGUAUGAGAGUAAUCUCUUCUAAAGCGAUGAUGCUUUCCCCACCGCUUGUGGAGGAAGACACGGCUGCCAAUAAGGUGCUCACCAAUGACGAUCUUCUAGAUCAGAUCCUUCAACACAUCCACUACCCUUUGUGCCUUGUUUGUGCUGCACUCACCUCCAAGCAGUGGCUCCGCAACGCCUCCGAUGAGACCACCAUCCGCCGCUUCCGUUCACUGAUGUCAUCCCACCUACUCAGGAUCUACAUCUCUAUUGAUGGCUUCUCCAACCCGAAGUUUGUGCCGCUACCCGAUGCCUCAAGGCCUGGAGCUUGCAGCUGCACUCCGUCAUGGUAACUUUAGUUUUGAUGACAUGGAUUUUCCACUACUAACUAUUUGGGAUUGCCACAACGACCAUGUCCUCUAUGGAUUCAGUGAAUCCUUUCAUGUUGCACUUGACCCUGUUGUGAGAGCGCCACUACGGUGCCCGGGAGAAGAUAUAGUCAUGCUCCCUCCACAACCGUCCAUAACCUGGCCCAAUUGUCCUCAUGCUAUGCUCCUUCCUGAUGAUGACGGUGAUGACUCCUCAUGUUAUCGUCUUGACAUCGGCAACAAGGACUGUACGGUCUAUGCGAAGGAUACAUCCUUACACUGGAUCUAGCCACCACAAGAUUCUCUAUCAUUGAUCCCCCGAGAGGUGUGGAAUUUGAGUACAUCGGCAACCUUGUCCCUUGCCGUGGAGACAACUCUGUUCUCUACCUCUUCAAUGUGAAGGGAGACAAGAUUACUGUCUGGUUCCAGAGGAUGGAUGACCACAGCAAUGUUGGAAGCCGCCCAGGCGAGUGGCUACUCAGGGACACCAUUUCCCUACUUGAGAAAUGCGGCCAACUCAUGAAGCAGGGUGGGGAGCCGAUAGAUGGGCAGGAGCGGGAGGAGGGUGUUGUGACAGUCGUCGGCGUCGGGGACAAUGCUGAGUUUGUGUUCUUGGAGUUUGAAGAAACUGGUGUCGUCGGCGUCGGGGACAAUGCUGAGUUUGUGUUCUUGGAGUUUGAAGAAACUGGUGUCGUCGCGUACAUGCAUCUCAAGACUAGAAAGGUGAAGAAGGUAUACCAGAGGCACCCAGAUAGCGAUUUCGCUAUAAGUGUUCUCCCGUUCAUGAUGGUCAAUCCCGUCGUCUUCCCAGAACUAGGUGCAGAUGAAGGUGAAGGACUACAGCAAGAGUAGCCAGCCCAGUAUAAUAAUAAGGUCUUUUGUCACUGGGUGUUGCGCCGUCCUAGAGUUUAUAUUUACUUUCUUUAAUAUGACUAAGCUAGUUUAUAGAUUCAGGAAGCAGAAAUUGAGCCAUGGGCAUUGUGGGAUUUCUUUUAUUCUGAUCUAUGAACAACUUUACUUUA